rnacentral:rRNA from 1 species
CCUACGGGAGGCAGCAGUGAGGAAUAUUGGUCAAUGGGCGCUAGCCUGAACCAGCCAAGUAGCGUGAAGGAUGACUGCCCUAUGGGUUGUAAACUUCUUUUAUAUGGGAAUAAAGUGCAGUAUGUAUACUGCUUUGCAUGUACCUUAUGAAUAAGGAUCGGCUAACUCCGUUCCAGCAGCCGCGUUAAUACGGAGGAUUCGAGCGUUAUCCGGAUUUGUUGGGUUUAAAGGGAGGGUAGGAGGGUUGGUAAGUGAGUUGUGACAGUUCGGGGCUCAACCGGAAAAUUGCAGUUGAUACUGGCAUCCUUGAGUACAGUAGAGGUAGGCGGAAUUCGUGGUGUAGCGGUGAAAUGCUUAGAUAGCACGAAGAACUCCGAUUGCGAAGGCAGCCUGCUGGACUGUAACUGACGCUGAGGCUCGAAAGUGUGGGUAUCAAACAGGAUUAGAUACCCCAGUAGUC